GGUUAAGCGACUAAGCGUACACGGUGGAUGCCCUGGCAGUCAGAGGCGAUGAAGGACGUGCUAAUCUGCGAAAAGCGUCGGUAAGGUGAUAUGAACCGUUAUAACCGGCGAUGUCCGAAUGGGGAAACCCAGUGCAAUUCGUUGCACUAUCGUUAACUGAAUACAUAGGUUAACGAGGCGAACCGGGGGAACUGAAACAUCUAAGUACCCCGAGGAAAAGAAAUCAACCGAGAUUCCCCCAGUAGCGGCGAGCGAACGGGGAGCAGCCCAGAGUCUGAAUCAGCUUGUGUGUUAGUGGAACGGUCUGGAAAGUCCGACGGUACAGGGUGAUAGUCCCGUACACCAAAAUGCACAGGCUGUGAACUCGAAGAGUAGGGCGGGACACGUGGUAUCCUGUCUGAAUAUGGGGGGACCAUCCUCCAAGGCUAAAUACUCCUGACUGACCGAUAGUGAACCAGUACCGUGAGGGAAAGGCGAAAAGAACCCCGGCGAGGGGAGUGAAAAAGAACCUGAAACCGUGUACGUACAAGCAGUGGGAGCACCUUCGGGUGUGACUGCGUACCUUUUGUAUAAUGGGUCAGCGACUUAUAUUCUGUAGCAAGGUUAACCGUAUAGGGGAGCCGCAGGGAAACCGAGUCUUAACUGGGCGUUAAGUUGCAGGGUAUAGACCCGAAACCCGGUGAUCUAGCCAUGGGCAGGUUGAAGGUUGGGUAACACUAACUGGAGGACCGAACCGACUAAUGUUGAAAAAUUAGCGGAUGACUUGUGGCUGGGGGUGAAAGGCCAAUCAAACCGGGAGAUAGCUGGUUCUCCCCGAAAGCUAUUUAGGUAGCGCCUCGUGAACUCAUCUUCGGGGGUAGAGCACUGUUUCGGCUAGGGGGUCAUCCCGACUUACCAACCCGAUGCAAACUACGAAUACCGAAGAAUGUUAUCACGGGAGACACACGGCGGGUGCUAACGUCCGUCGUGAAGAGGGAAACAACCCAGACCGCCAGCUAAGGUCCCAAAGUCAUGGUUAAGUGGGAAACGAUGUGGGAAGGCACAGACAGCCAGGAUGUUGGCUUAGAAGCAGCCAUCAUUUAAAGAAAGCGUAAUAGCUCACUGGUCGAGUCGGCCUGCGCGGAAGAUGUAACGGGGCUAAACCAUGCACCGAAGCUGCGGCAGCGACACUAUGUGUUGUUGGGUAGGGGAGCGUUCUGUAAGCCUGCGAAGGUGACCUGUGAGGGUUGCUGGAGGUAUCAGAAGUGCGAAUGCUGACAUAAGUAACGAUAAAGCGGGUGAAAAGCCCGCUCGCCGGAAGACCAAGGGUUCCUGUCCAACGUUAAUCGGGGCAGGGUGAGUCGACCCCUAAGGCGAGGCCGAAAGGCGUAGUCGAUGGGAAACAGGUUAAUAUUCCUGUACUUGGUGUUACUGCGAAGGGGGGACGGAGAAGGCUAUGUUAGCCGGGCGACGGUUGUCCCGGUUUAAGCAUGUAGGCUGGUUAUCCAGGCAAAUCCGGAUAAUCAAGGCUGAGGUGUGAUGACGAGGCACUACGGUGCUGAAGUAACAAAUGCCCUGCUUCCAGGAAAAGCCUCUAAGCAUCAGGUAACAUCAAAUCGUACCCCAAACCGACACAGGUGGUCAGGUAGAGAAUACCAAGGCGCUUGAGAGAACUCGGGUGAAGGAACUAGGCAAAAUGGUGCCGUAACUUCGGGAGAAGGCACGCUGGUGUGUAGGUGAAGUCCCUGCGGAUGGAGCUGAGACCAGUCGAAGAUACCAGCUGGCUGCAACUGUUUAUUAAAAACACAGCACUGUGCAAACACGAAAGUGGACGUAUACGGUGUGACGCCUGCCCGGUGCCGGAAGGUUAAUUGAUGGGGUUAUCCGUAAGGAGAAGCUCUUGAUCGAAGCCCCGGUAAACGGCGGCCGUAACUAUAACGGUCCUAAGGUAGCGAAAUUCCUUGUCGGGUAAGUUCCGACCUGCACGAAUGGCGUAAUGAUGGCCAGGCUGUCUCCACCCGAGACUCAGUGAAAUUGAACUCGCUGUGAAGAUGCAGUGUACCCGCGGCAAGACGGAAAGACCCCGUGAACCUUUACUAUAGCUUGACACUGAACAUUGAGCCUUGAUGUGUAGGAUAGGUGGGAGGCUUUGAAGCGUGGACGCCAGUCUGCGUGGAGCCAACCUUGAAAUACCACCCUUUAAUGUUUGAUGUUCUAACGUUGGCCCCUUACCGGGGUUGCGGACAGUGUCUGGUGGGUAGUUUGACUGGGGCGGUCUCCUCCCAAAGCGUAACGGAGGAGCACGAAGGUUAGCUAAUCCUGGUCGGACAUCAGGAGGUUAGUGCAAUGGCAUAAGCUAGCUUGACUGCGAGCGUGACGGCGCGAGCAGGUGCGAAAGCAGGUCAUAGUGAUCCGGUGGUUCUGAAUGGAAGGGCCAUCGCUCAACGGAUAAAAGGUACUCCGGGGAUAACAGGCUGAUACCGCCCAAGAGUUCAUAUCGACGGCGGUGUUUGGCACCUCGAUGUCGGCUCAUCACAUCCUGGGGCUGAAGUAGGUCCCAAGGGUAUGGCUGUUCGCCAUUUAAAGUGGUACGCGAGCUGGGUUUAGAACGUCGUGAGACAGUUCGGUCCCUAUCUGCCGUGGGCGCUGGAGAAUUGAGGGGGGCUGCUCCUAGUACGAGAGGACCGGAGUGGACGCAUCACUGGUGUUCGGGUUGUCAUGCCAAUGGCACUGCCCGGUAGCUAAAUGCGGAAGAGAUAAGUGCUGAAAGCAUCUAAGCACGAAACUUGCCCCGAGAUGAGUUCUCCCUGAGACUUUAAGUCUCCUGAAGGAACGUUGAAGACGACGACGUUGAUAGGCCGGGUGUGUAAGCGCAGCGAUGCGUUGAGCUAACCGGUACUAAUGAACCGUGAGGCUUAACCUU
rnacentral:rRNA from 1 species